rnacentral:rRNA from 1 species
UCGAGUCUUUGAACGCAAGUUGCGCCCGAGGCCAACCGGCCAAGGGCACGUCUGCCUGGGCGUCAAGCGUUGCAUCGCUCCGUGCCAACUCCGUCGCACAAAUGCAUGUGUUGAUCGAGGCCCGGAUGUGUAGAGUGGCUCAUCGUGCCCAUCGGUGCG